GGCCCAUCAUCCAGGGCGUGCUACACAUGCAAUCGAAUGAAAAGAAUUAAUUAUUGUUUUCAUGGUGAACGGGUGAGUAACACAUAAGAAUCAGCUUUUAGAUAAGGCAUAAAAGAGUAAUAUCUUGGUAAUUCCUUAUAUGCGCAGCAGUGCUUAAAAAGGGGAGUCCCGUCUAAAAACGAGCUUAUGCCUGAUUAGCUAGUUGGCGAGUUAAAAGCUCACCAAGGCGAAGAUCAGUAGCUGGCCUGAGAGGGCGGCCAGCCACAUUGGGACUGAGACACGGCCCAAACUCCUACGGGAGGCAGCAGUGGGGAAUCUUCUGCAAUGGGCGCAAGCCUGACAGAGCGGCGUCGUGUGAAGGAAGAAGGCCUGAAAUAGGUUGUAAACUUCUUUUACUGAAUAAUGAAUAAUGACAACGCAGUAAAAAAGUAUCGGCUAACUCCGUGCCAGCAGCCGCGGUAAUACGGGGGAUGCAAGCGUUAUCCGGAAUCACUGGGCGUAAAGCGUCUGUAGGUGGUUUAGUGUGUUCUUAGUUAAAUUCUGAAGCCUAACUUCAUGAAAAGUAAGAAAACUAUUAGACUUGAGUACGAUAGGGGUAAGAGGAAUUCUUCGAGAAGUAGUGAAAUGCGAAGAUACGAAGGAGAAGAUCAUAAGCGAAGGCUUCUUACUGGGUCGUAACUGACACUGAGAGACGAAAGCUAGGGGAGCGAAUGGGAUUAGAUACCCCAGUAGUCCUAGCUGUAAACGAUGGAUAUUCGGUGCCGGAAAUUUUAUUAGAACAUUUCGGUACCCUAGCUAACGCGUUAAAUAUCCCGCCUGAGGAGUACGCUCGCAAGGGUGAAACUCAAAUGAAUUGACGGAAGGC
rnacentral:rRNA from 1 species